AGAGUUUGAUCCUGGCUCAGGACGAACGCUGGCGGCGUGCCUAAUACAUGCAAGUAGAACGCUGAAGGAGGAGCUUGCUUCUCUGGAUGAGUUGCGAACGGGUGAGUAACGCGUAGGUAACCUGCCUGGUAGCGGGGGAUAACUAUUGGAAACGAUAGCUAAUACCGCAUAAGAGUAGAUGUUGCAUGACAUUUGCUUAAAAGGUGCACUUGCAUCACUACCAGAUGGACCUGCGUUGUAUUAGCUAGUUGGUGGGGUAAGGGCUCACCAAGGCGACGAUACAUAGCCGACCUGAGAGGGUGAUCGGCCACACUGGGACUGAGACACGGCCCAGACUCCUACGGGAGGCAGCAGUAGGGAAUCUUCGGCAAUGGACGGAAGUCUGACCGAGCAACGCCGCGUGAGUGAAGAAGGUUUUCGGAUCGUAAAGCUCUGUUGUAAGAGAAGAACGAGUGUGAGAGUGGAAAGUUCACACUGUGACGGUAUCUUACCAGAAAGGGACGGCUAACUACGUGCCAGCAGCCGCGGUAAUACGUAGGUCCCGAGCGUUGUCCGGAUUUAUUGGGCGUAAAGCGAGCGCAGGCGGUUAGAUAAGUCUGAAGUUAAAGGCUGUGGCUUAACCAUAGUAGGCUUUGGAAACUGUUUAACUUGAGUGCAAGAGGGGAGAGUGGAAUUCCAUGUGUAGCGGUGAAAUGCGUAGAUAUAUGGAGGAACACCGGUGGCGAAAGCGGCUCUCUGGCUUGUAACUGACGCUGAGGCUCGAAAGCGUGGGGAGCAAACAGGAUUAGAUACCCUGGUAGUCCACGCUGUAAACGAUGAGUGCUAGGUGUUAGACCCUUUCCGGGGUUUAGUGCCGUAGCUAACGCAUUAAGCACUCCGCCUGGGGAGUACGACCGCAAGGUUGAAACUCAAAGGAAUUGACGGGGGCCCGCACAAGCGGNAAGAGCGAUGAGACAGUCUUGGUUGAGCUGUCGAAAAGACAGAUCUAAGAGUUCAAAACCAGCUUUAUUAUUUGAAAAAGUGAGUGGUUUAAGAACAGUUUUCCUCGAACAUUCAAGGCUGUAACAUCGUGUUUAUUUUUAGCGACAUCAAUACCUACAUAAAGCAUGGGAGUACCUCCAGAUAUAGUAUUUCAAGUCUACUUGGUUAUCCACGAACUUUUUGCCUUGUUACCUUAGACGAGAUAAAACGUCUAUGCGUUAUCAAACUCAUUACCAAUUGAAACAAAAAGCUGUGGUUAGAGCCUUUCGGAAAUCGUCAAGCGAUUGGAGGAAAUGAACUAAUCCACAGUGACUUAUUCCAAGUAUACCACUUGGGCUUUGGCAGUAGCUAACUGCGCUAAAUAUAAUAUAAGGAGAAAUAGAUGGAUUUAUGGUUUUCUGAAGU
rnacentral:rRNA from 1 species